rnacentral:rRNA from 1 species
UACGUAGGGUCCGAGCGUUGUCCGGAAUUAUUGGGCGUAAAGGGCUCGUAGGCGGUUUGUCGCGUCGGGAGUGAAAACUCAGGGCUCAACCCUGAGCGUGCUUCCGAUACGGGCAAACUAGAGGUAUGCAGGGGAGAAUGGAAUUCCUGGUGUAGCGGUGGAAUGCGCAGAUAUCAGGAGGAACACCGGUGGCGAAGGCGGUUCUCUGGGCAUUACCUGACGCUGAGGAGCGAAAGCGUGGGGAGCGAACAGG